ensembl:lncRNA
CUCCUCCCUAACACCGGAUGCAGUGUCUCUACCCCUCCCUGCCUGCCCCACGGGCCACACAGUCAGAAGGGUCAAAACUCGAGGGCUUCUGGUUCAAGGGACCCUCAGACAUGGCCACUUAAGGCUAGGGGGACAGGGAGGAAUCCGGACAAGUUGGACACCUGUUGACAGUCCCUCUGCCAUGAGGAGGCAGGAGCGCAGAGUGGUUAGAGCUUGCUCCCCGCCCCCCUCCCGCCCCCAGCAUUCUCUUGGCAUAUUCCCACUGCUACCUGUGUGACUCCAGGGCUCAGUUUCUUCAUCUGCAAAAAGGAGUCAGCUGAAAUGAAAAUGUCAACCAACGUUUGUGUCCGAACUACACGCGUUCGUCAAUUGCAAGCACAGGUUGGCUACUGAUCCACGAGUUGGGCCAAAAGUCCACGAAAGAAAGAGUUCUGUGAAUCACCUGCUCGUACGGAGUUUACAUUUUAUUAUAAUUUGUAAAUUGUGUGAUACACAUCCUUUAUGUCAGUACAAUUUAUUUUAUAUAUAUAUGUAUAUAUUUUUUCCUUCCUUUCCCAAGAGAGCUGGUUGCUAAUGCUGGACAUUGACCAGUGCCUCAUACAGGGAGCAGCCCGGAGGAGGCAUUGAGAUUACUGUAAAUAAGUGAAGUGUGUUUAAUAAAAUGGUCUGAGGGGACCCGGUCAGCUCCAUAGGGAGCCCUAAAGAAGUCUAGGACUUGGGGGGAGAGGCCCAGGCCUGGGACACAGCGGGCGGUAAAACUGAGGUGCUGGGCGCCCCGAGAGGACCCGGGGGUAGGGAUGAGGGCACAGGGUGGGGAAGCCGGGAGCCCUGGCUGUCGGAUGGGAUCCUAAGGAAGGAGGCAUUUGGGCCUGUGGAUGGCGCACCCGUCCGCACCCCUCCCAGGGGUGCUUCUCCUCCCAGGACAGGAUGCUGCCUCGUGUAGGCAGCACAAAUCCUCGGGAUGCCAGACCCCUAAGGCAUUGUCCUGAAGGCAGAUGGCCCCAGGCCCCUGGACAAAGGCCCCGUUAUCCUCGGCGCUGCCCCACGCUGCUCUCUCUGUCUGUCCUCCCGGCUUGUUAGGGGACCUUGUGUCCUGGGACUGAUCAUGUCCACUCUCCCGGCCUCUGUAUCUGCUGAACGCAAGGAGGGGCUGGUCCAAUCCCAGCCCUGACCCUCCCCUUGCUGGUGGGAAAGAAUCAUCCUUUUGUCUCGUUCUUUCAGUGUGUUUGCAUUAAGUCUGCUUUAGCCUGGGUGGUCAGAGAAGGCCUCACUGAGCAAGUUCCAGGUGAAGUAUGACCCGCAUGUUGAGAAGGAGCCAGCCAUGUAAAGACUGCAGGGACAGCAGGUGCAAAGGCCCUGAGGCAGGUACAAACUGGGCGUGUUCGGGAACCAGAAGGAAGGCAGGAAGUGGAGCAGAGGGGAACAGGGCAGGAGAGCAGAUUGGGGGAGGAGGAAGGCAGCUUGCCCCGGUGCUGUGGCUAGGAGUUUGGACUUGAUUCUAAUUCGUAUGGAAGGCCUUUGGAGGUUUGAGCAGGGGAGUAGGGGACCAGUACAUGCUGGCCAGAUACAGGGUCAGGGCUAGACCCUGGGGCACGGGGCCAGCUCCCAGGACUUGAGGAGGAGCCUGCUGGAUUAGCAGUUCCUGAGGCCCGUCUUCACCUGGUUGUCUGUGAAGAAGCACCUCAGAAGCGCUGUCUCUCUCUGAGCAGCACGGAUUUGAAGACUCGAAUGCCAACCAGAGAGGGGAGGGCUGAAGACACAGACACCAGCAGCCAGCCUACAGGGUUCCGCAUCCCAGCUCGGCCAUUGACUCCCCCUGGACCUUGAGGAAACAGGGAGGUGCCGGACAGCCAAGCCCGAGUGAGAACCCCCACCCAGGAUGAGGAUCCCUGGGGCCAGGGACGCACAUCACCUGUAGGCCAGCGGGCCUGAGCUGUGCACCUCGCUGCUCUCUGCGGAAGAAGACGUCACAUGCGGCCCAGCCGCAGGCUCCAGAGUCCCGGGAGCCUCGCAUGUGGGGCCCGUGGAGCGCCUGGGGGCCAUGGGGCUUGGAGCCCAGGAGCUGUCACUGCUGCCCUGUGGAGGGUCCCUCAGUCCCUGUUGACCUUGAACGGCGACCCCUGGGUGCAAGCGGGAGACUUUUUGCCCUGGGUGUGAGUUGACCCCUCUGCUGGGUCUAUAUGGGUCCAGGAAGUGCCCGGUCAGGGGACCGAGCCCAGGCAGUCCUCAGGACUCUGUUGGGGGCAGGGUGCUCUCUGAGAAGCAGAAUCAGGCUUGGGGCACCCGUGUCAUCUAUUUUGGGUCUUCGGCUCACUGCUUGUGAAGGGGGUCUUUUAACACCAAACCCAGUGCCAGCCUUGGACACGUGGGGGUGGCCUGGAUGGCUCGGCUGGGCAGGGCUGGGCUAACGUCCACCCUGGCCGCUGGCUAGAAGAGGCCACGAGAGGGGGGCCAGGGCGCCAUCCAGCUCCUGGGGAGCCGCCUGCUGGAUUGCGCAGGGGGCUGGGAACCCACUGGGUUGUGUGCCCAGGAUGGCAGCACGCAGGGUUGUGUUCUGGUGGCUCAGACCUGCCUUAUCCCCCACUUACAGAGGGGUAAACUGAGGUUCCAACUGUGUGUGGUGGCGGCAGGGCUGGGACUUGACCCCACACCUCCGGCUGGAAGCCGCGCCCCCAGAUCUUCUCUUUUAUUCCCUGGGCCCCGACGAGGCCCUGGGUCUCCACACAUCGUGACCAGCCGGCAGGAGGGCCUGGGGUUUGUGGAACAAUGUGGAGUGAGUUAAACAGACACAAGUCCCCGUUGUCGUGGAGAUUAUCGUUUCAGAAGGUGGAGCUGGGGAGGGGUGGUGGGGGCUGAGGACUGUCUGACGGCAGCUCCCGUGACUUGGUCCCACCGAGCCUUGGGCUGGGCGCCCGGUAAAUACACUCCUAUGUUAUCCACACGACCACUGCAUGAGGUGGUCAUUAUUGUCCUCAGCUCUGCGGGGUAAACCGAGGCAAAGACAGUUGAACAAUAUGCAAGAGGGCAUGAGAGGUGAAUGUAGUUUGCACGUGGGAUGGAUGUGAAUUUGGGGGGCAAGGGGGAGACUAUAAUGGGUUGGAUAGUAGCCCCCGCAAUAUGUCUCCCGGAACCUCAGAAUGUGACCCUACUUGGAAUAAAGGUCUUUGCAGAUGUAGUUAAAGUAAGGACCCCGAGAUGAGAUCCUCCUGGAUCAGGGCGGACCCCAAAUAUAAUGACGAGCGCCCAUGUAAGAGACUGAAGAGGAGAAGACGCACAGAGACAUUCUGACGUCUCCAGAAGGCCACGUGAGGGUGGAGGCAGAGAUGGAAGUGAUGCAGCCAUGAGCCAAGGACACCUGGGGCCGCUGGAAGCUGGAAGAGACAAAGAAGCGUCCUCCCCUAGAGCCUUCGGGGCAGCGUGACCCUGUUGACACGUUGAUUUUGGACUUCUGGUCUCUAGAGCUGGGGAGAAGAAACUUCUGUUUUUUUAAGCCCCCAAGUUCGGGCGGGACCACGAUCCGGCCCUGGGGGCGUCUGCCACAGGCCUUGUUUCUCACGCCCCUGCCUGCCCAGGCAGGCCCUGGCCUAGAGUCCUGCAUCCUUUCCUUGGUGGUGGAAAAGGAAGGGCCGUGCAUCUUUGCCGAGCACCUGCCAAGGGCCAGAGGCUGUCACAGGCCUUCUCAUCCACAUUCGUGCCAGCCUGUGAGAUGCCCACUCUUAUCCAUCCUACAGAUGAAGGCAGUCCGCAGACGAGGCCCUGGCUGGGCCCUGAGAGGGUGGGGCACUCAGAGAAGAGGGGCUCUGAGCCCCAGAGCUGUCGUUUGCUUCCACCAAAAUGCCCCUGAACGGGCAGGGUGUGAUGAGAGAAUCGCUCAGUGGACGCACAGCACGAUGCCAUAAAAACCCCACAGCUGCCCUCUAAACACGCGUGCCCAGAGAAAGGUCUGGAAAGAUAGACCUUUUAGGGCUGUUCUCGGUCCUUCCUUCCCCACAGCCCCUGCCCUAGGUCCAGCCCUCACCCCGAAGGCCGUAGCCCUGGCCUCUCUGCUUCUCCUUUUCCUGAAAAUCCGCCCCAAACACCCAUUUCCUUACUCACUCCUGCCCAAGCUGCCCUAUUCCGUGCAUCUGAGCACCAAGGGCCUCCUGGGACCCACCUGCUGCCUGGCCCUUGCUCCUCGGCCCCGUCUGCCCCCGGCUUCCCUUGGAGGAGCCCUGUCCCCACUGGGCAGCCUCCCCUCGCCCCCCUUUAGGGCCCUGCCCCGCUCAGGCUGCACCCCUCCCUUUCAGGGCAAGGAGGGAGGGGAUGACCCUCUGCCGAGCGCGCCCUACAUCCCAGGCCGGGUGAGAGGGCCUUUGCUCACAGACCAGCCCCUCAUAAGAGCCCUGACGCUGGGUCUUAUCUCCAUUUUACAGAUGAGAAAACUGAGUCUCAGAUGCGAAUAAACGGGUUCCCACAGCUGCGAAGCGUCGGAGUUGGGACUGCCAACACCCAUUGCCCAUGUCCGUGCUCUUAAAAGUCAUUGAGCGCCUACUCUGUGCACACUGUGCCUGACUGCUGGGCCCCAGGCGCCUGCUCUGAGAACCGCCAGAGCCUGCCACGUGGACCCCCUCCCCCCGGCAGCCGUCACAUCUGCAGCUCUCGUGGUGACACUUCAUCAGUGAUGUGGGAUGGGGACGUCACUCUUUCAAGUCUGUGUGCACACGGCACGCCUUAUCUCCCCAGCUGGACCAGCACACCCGGCCAGUGGGACGUGCCUGCGGUUUCUCCCAUGUCUCCUUCUGUCCCUAGCAGGCACUCUGGCAUGCGUGUAGCAAUCCUUCUUGAAGGAAUGUGUAAAAUGUGGAGUAGAUGGUGACGCUGACCACCAGGGCCGAAUUUCAGUUAGGCCCUGGUGCCUUUAUAGGUGACCACAGUGCUUGGUGCUGAGUACUUCAUGAAACUCCUCGUUGCAUCCUCCCAAUGGGCCCUUUGGGACUGGAGGACGCCCAGAGAGGCCAAAUGACUUGCUCAGUGUCACUCCAUGGUGCCUGGACCGGGGAUUGAAGGCUGGCUGUGCUGACGUCAUCACAGGAGCUGGGGGGCCAGUGGGCUUGUCCAUUUAUCCUGAGGGUCUAGGGCAGUGCUAUCCCGUGGAAGCAUCAUGUGAAACGCAUCUGUAAUUUUAAGUUUCCUGGUAGCCACGUUAAGAAAGUAAAAAGAAACAGGUAAAGUUGAUUUUAAUAAUAUGUUUUCUUAGCCCAGUGUAUCCAAAAUAUGUGAUCAGUAGAAAAAUUAUUAAUGAGAACUUGUACCUGAUUUUCAUUGUUCUCCGUCUUGGAAAUCUCGUGUGGAUUUUGCACGUUGGGCAGCUGUCCACUGGCGCUCGCUGCGUUUGAGCGUUCGAACGCCACGUGUGGCUCGUGGCACUGCACUGACAGCGUCUCCAAGGCAAGCUGUGACACCUUCCAAAACCUCACUGAGCAAAGCCCUCUGGAACCGGGCCUCUUGGAGCCGGGUGUCACUUCCCUGGCUCGUGUCCCUCGCAGCCCUGGGGACCUGAGGCAGCACCAGUGUCUGGACCCAGUGUCAGUGGUCGUGUAGUCAUUUGUAUGCCCAGUGGGGUCAAACCUGGCAUCAGGCUUGGCGAGGGGGCUUCCUCUGGACCAAAGCAAGCGCGGACAGAGGGCACAGCCUCCAACCCACAUCCUCCAGGGAGGUCCACCUGGGUUGACUUAGAAAAUGAGAUCAGGCCUGGUGGGCGGUGGCCUUCACAGGCACCCGUGAGGCUGUCACACUGGGUCUCUGCAUCUGGAAGGUCACAUUAAUUAUGUGUCC